UGGGGAAUAUUGGACAAUGGGGGAAACCCUGAUCCAGCGACGCCGCGUGUGUGAAGAAGGCCUGCGGGUUGUAAAGCACUUUCGGUGGGAACGAAAUAUGCCGGGCUAAUACCCCGGUAGGCUGACGUUACUCAAUGAAGAAGCACCGGCUAACUCUGUGCCAGCAGCCGCGGUAAUACAGAGGGUGCGAGCGUUAAUCGGAAUUACUGGGCGUAAAGCGCACGUAGGUGGCGACGUAAGUCGGGUGUGAAAGCCCCGGGCUCAACCUGGGAACCGCAUUCGAGACUGCGUUGCUGGAGUACGGAAGAGGAGGGCGGAAUUCCCGGUGUAGCGGUGAAAUGCGUAGAUAUCGGGAGGAACAUCAGUGGCGAAGGCGGCCCUCUGGUCCAGUACUGACACUCAAGUGCGAAAGCGUGGGGAGCAAACAGGAUUAGAUACCCAUGUAGUCCCUGAGCGGGCUGGCAAGGCGCAU
rnacentral:rRNA from 1 species